rnacentral:lncRNA from 1 species
CCCCAUCGUUCAAAAGAAUUGAGACAAGAUCUUCAAUUGGCUCACCCUAUUCUUCAGCAAGGUCGUCGUGGGUGUCUAAUCCAUCAAUCGGAUAGGAGUCAGACUGACCAUUUCUUUGUAAGGCUAUGUUGUAGCAGUGUCUUGCUAGGACUUGAUCUCCUCUGACCUCUCCGACCCCUUGGCUUGUAGGAAAUUUUAAUUUUAAAUGGUAGGUCGAUACCACAGCUCGGAGGGCGUUGAGGCCAGGUCGGUCGAG